CCCUUAGAUGUUCUGGGCCGCACGCGUGCUACACUGAACGGUUCAAUGGGUAAGGUAGUGCGAAAGCAUGACCUAAUCUCGAAAUCCGUUCGUGCUGGGGAUAGAAGCUUGCAAUUAUCCUUCUUGAACGAGGAAUACCUUGUAGGCGCAUGUCAUCAUCAUGCGCCGAAUACGUCCCUGCCCUUUGUACACACCGCCCGUCGCUCCUACCGAUUGAGUGAUCCGGUGAGGCUCUGGGACCUGGACGGAAAGAGCGUUUCGCUUGUUCUGUUUGGGAAACUUGGUCGAACCUUAUCAUUUAGAGGAAGGAGAAGUCGUAACA
rnacentral:rRNA from 1 species